UAAUGUCGGUAAGGAGGAUAUCAAUUCUGUUAAACGUGAAACUGAACCAAAUGGUGCUGAUGAUGAUUCUGAGGAUGGUUUACCCUUGAGUUCUAGACUUAAGGGGGACCAAUAAAAGUGCACCUAAUGCUGUCAAAGAUGAAGAUUCAGAUGAUGAUCAAGUCCCUUUAUCUCAAAAGUUCACUCUGAAAUCAAAUGCAGGGACAUCGGGCAGUAAACCCAACAAUUUUAGUCAAAAGAAACCUUUGGCUUUGAAAAUUCAAGAGAAUGGUU
rnacentral:misc_RNA from 1 species